CACUAUGGGCUGUAGCCUGCCAAGCUCCUCUAUCCAUGGGAUUCUGCAAGUCUCUAGGCAAUGUCAUUGACCCCCUCGACGUUAUCCAUGGGGUCUCCCUGCAGGGCCUCCACGACCAGCUACUGAACAGCAACCUGGAUCCCAGCGAGGUGGAGAAGGCGAAAGAGGGGCAGAAGGCAGAUUUCCCAACAGGGAUCCCCGAGUGUGGCACUGAUGCACUCCGGUUUGGACUAUGCGCCUACACGUCCCAGGGCCGUGACAUCAACCUGGAUGUGAACCGGAUAUUGGGGUACCGCCAUUUCUGCAACAAGCUCUGGAACGCCACCAAGUUUGCCCUCCGUGGCCUUGGGAAGGGUUUCGUGCCUUCACCCACGUCUGAGCCCGGAGGCCACGAGAGCCUGGUGGACCGCUGGAUCCGCAGUCGGCUGACUGAAGCUGUGAGGCUCAGCAACCAAGGUUUCCAGGCCUACGACUUCCCAGCUGUCACCACCGCCCAGUACAGCUUCUGGCUCUGCCAGCUCUGCGAUGUCUACCUGGAGUGCCUGAGGCCUGUGCUGAAUGGGGUGGACCAGGCGGCAGCCGAGUGCGCCCGCCAGACCCUCUACACCUGCCUGGACGUGGGCCUGCGGCUGCUCUCACCCUUCAUGCCCUUCGUGACCGAGGAGCUGUUCCAGCGGCUGCCCCGGCGGACACCACAAGCUCCCCCUAGCCUCUGUGUCACCACCUACCCGGAGCCCUCGGAGUGCUCCUGGAAGGACCCUGAGGCAGAAGCUGCCUUUGAGUUGGCCCUGAGCAUCACUCGAGCUGUGCGCUCCCUGCGUGCCGACUACAAUCUCACCCGGAUCCGGCCCGACUGUUUCCUGGAAGUGGCUGACGAGGCCACAGGUGCUCUGGCAUCGGCGGUGUCGGGCUAUGUGCAGACGCUGGCCAGCGCGGGGAUCGUGGCUGUCCUGGCGCUGGGGGCUUCUGCACCCCAGGGCUGCGCUGUGGCCCUGGCCUCUGACCGCUGCUCCGUCCACCUGCAGCUGCAGGGGCUAGUAGACCCAGCCCGGGAGCUGGGCAAACUGCAGGCCAAGCGUGACGAGGCGCAGCGGCAGGCACAGCGUCUGCGGGAGCGCCGCGCCACCUCAGGCUACACUGUCAAGGUGCCCCUCAAAGUCCAGGAGGCAGAUGAAACCAAGCUCCAGCAGACAGAAGCAGAGCUCAGGAAGGUUGAUGAGGCCAUCGCCCUAUUUCAGAAGAUGCUGUGAAACACCCAACUCCAACCCUCAUAACCCCCAGUGGUCCACCAUGGGGAUGGCAGCAAUAAAAUAUUUUGCCACAAAACCGUA